UCGCUCCUACCGAUUGAGUGAUCCGGUGAGCUGUCCGGACUGCGAUUAGUUCAGUUUCUGUUCUCUUCGCGGGAAGUUCUGCAAACCUUAUCACUAGAGGAAGGAGAAGUCGUAACAAGGUUUCCGUAGGUGAACCUGCGGAAGGAUCAUUC
rnacentral:ncRNA from 1 species